CGGGGGGGGGGCCUAUAAUGCAGUCGACGAACUCUGGUAAUGAUUGGUGCUUGCAUCAUGAAUUACAUUUGAGUGAGUGGCGAACUGGUGAGUAACACGUGGGAAACCUGCCCAGAAGCGGGGGAUAACACCUGGAAACAGAUGCUAAUACCGCAUAACAACUUGGACCGCAUGGUCCGAGUUUGAAAGAUGGCUUCGGCUAUCACUUUUGGAUGGUCCCGCGGCGUAUUAGCUAGAUGGUGAGGUAACGGCUCACCAUGGCAAUGAUACGUAGCCGACCUGAGAGGGUAAUCGGCCACAUUGGGACUGAGACACGGCCCAAACUCCUACGGGAGGCAGCAGUAGGGAAUCUUCCACAAUGGACGAAAGUCUGAUGGAGCAACGCCGCGUGAGUGAAGAAGGGUUUCGGCUCGUAAAACUCUGUUGUUAAAGAAGAACAUAUCUGAGAGUAACUGUUCAGGUAUUGACGGUAUUUAACCAGAAAGCCACGGCUAACUACGUGCCAGCAGCCGCGGUAAUACGUAGGUGGCAAGCGUUGUCCGGAUUUAUUGGGCGUAAAGCGAGCGCAGGCGGUUUUUUAAGUCUGAUGUGAAAGCCUUCGGCUCAACCGAAGAAGUGCAUCGGAAACUGGGAAACUUGAGUGCAGAAGAGGACAGUGGAACUCCAUGUGUAGCGGUGAAAUGCGUAGAUAUAUGGAAGAACACCAGUGGCGAAGGCGGCUGUCUGGUCUGUAACUGACGCUGAGGCUCGAAAGUAUGGGUAGCAAACAGGAUUAGAUACCCUGGUAGUCCAUACCGUAAACGAUGAAUGCUAAGUGUUGGAGGGUUUCCGCCCUUCAGUGCUGCAGCUAACGCAUUAAGCAUUCCGCCUGGGGAGUACGGCCGCAAGGCUGAAACUCAAAGGAAUUGACGGGGGCCCGCACAAGCGGUGGAGCAUGUGGUUUAAUUCGAAGCUACGCGAAGAACCUUACCAGGUCUUGACAUACUAUGCAAAUCUAAGAGAUUAGACGUUCCCUUCGGGGACAUGGAUACAGGGUGGUGCAUGAUUGUCGUCAGCUCGUGUCGUGAGAUGUUGGGUUAGUCCCGCAACGAGCGCAACCCCUUAUUAUCAGUUGGCCAGCAUUUAAGUGGGCACUCUGGCUGAGACUGCCCGGUGACGACUGCAGGUAGGUUGCGGAAUGAACGGUCGAAUUCAAUCAUGACCCCCGUUUAAUUG
rnacentral:rRNA from 1 species